AUUGAACGCUGGCGGCAGGCCUAACACAUGCAAGUCGAACGAGUGGCGGACGGGUGAGUAAUGUCUGGGAAACUGCCUGAUGGAGGGGGAUAACUACUGGAAACGGUAGCUAAUACCGCAUACCAUCAGAUGUGCCCAGAUGGGAUUAGCUUGUUGGUGGGGUAACGGCUCCCCAAGGCGACGAUCCCUAGCUGGUCUGAGCGGAUGACCAGCCACACUGGAAAUGUGACACAGUCCAGACUACUACGGGAGGAAGCAGUUGGGAAUAUUGCACAAUGGGCGCAAGCCUGAUGCAGCCAUGCCGCGUGUAUGAAGAAGGCCUUCGGGUUGUAAAGUACUUGCAGCGGGGAGGCGUUACCCGCAGAAGAAGCACCGGCUAACUCCGUGCCAGCAGCCGCGGUAAUUC
rnacentral:rRNA from 1 species